CCUACGGGUGGCAGCAGUGGGGAAUAUUGGACAAUGGGCGAAAGCCUGAUCCAGCCAUGCCGCGUGUGUGAAGAAGGCCUUCGGGUUGUAAAGCACUUUCAGUGGGGAAGAAAGCCUUGGGGCUAAUACCCUCGAGGAAGGACAUCACCCACAGAAGAAGCACCGGCUAACUCCGUGCCAGCAGCCGCGGUAAUACGGAGGGUGCGAGCGUUAAUCGGAAUUACUGGGCGUAAAGCGCGCGUAGGCGGUCUGAUAAGCCGGUUGUGAAAGCCCCGGGCUCAACCUGGGAACGGCAUCCGGAACUGUCAGGCUAGAGUGCAGCAGAGGAAGGUAGAAUUCCCGGUGUAGCGGUGAAAUGCGUAGAGAUCGGGAGGAAUACCAGUGGCGAAGGCGGCCUUCUGGACUGACACUGACGCUGAGGUGCGAAAGCGUGGGUAGCAAACAGGAUUAGAUACCCCAGUAGUC
rnacentral:rRNA from 1 species